GAUGAACGCUGGCGGCGUGCCUAAUACAUGCAAGUCGAGCGAACAGACGAGGAGCUUGCUCCUCUGACGUUAGCGGCGGACGGGUGAGUAACACGUGGAUAACCUACCUAUAAGACUGGGAUAACUUCGGGAAACCGGAGCUAAUACCGGAUAAUAUAUUGAACCGCAUGGUUCAAUAGUGAAAGACGGUUUUGCUGUCACUUAUAGAUGGAUCCGCGCCGCAUUAGCUAGUUGGUAAGGUAACGGCUCACCAAGGCAACGAUGCGUAGCCGACCUGAGAGGGUGAUCGGCCACACUGGAACUGAGACACGGUCCAGACUCCUACGGGAGGCAGCAGUAGGGAUUCUUCCGCAAUGGGCGAAAGCCUGACGGAGCAACGCCGCGUGAGUGAUGAAGGUCUUCGGAUCGUAAAACUCUGUUAUUAGGGAAGAACAAAUGUGUAAGUAACUAUGCACGUCUUGACGGUACCUAAUCAGAAAGCCACGGCUAACUACGUG
rnacentral:rRNA from 1 species